CGCAAGCCUGACGGAGCAAGACCGCGUGCGGGAUGACGGCCUAAUGGUUGUAAACCGCUUUUCUCUGGGAAGAAGAUGACGGUACCAGAGGAAUCAGCCUCGGCUAACUCCGUGCCAGCAGCCGCGGUAAUACGGAGGAGGCAAGCGUUAUCCGGAAUUAUUGGGCGUAAAGCGUCCGUAGGUGGUGAAUCAAGUCUGCUGUCAAAGCGUGGGGCUUAACUCCAUAGAGGCAGUGGAAACUGGUUGACUAGAGUGCGGUAGGGGUCGAGGGAAUUAACAGUGUAGCGGUGAAAUGCGUAGAUAUUGGGAAGAACACCAGUGGCGAAAGCGCUCGACUGGGCCUGCACUGACACUGAGGGACGAAAGCUAGGGGAGCG
rnacentral:rRNA from 1 species